rnacentral:rRNA from 1 species
GAUGAACGCUGGCGGCGUGCCUAAUACAUGCAAGUCGAGCGAACGGACGAGAAGCUUGCUUCUCUGAUGUUAGCGGCGGACGGGUGAGUAACACGUGGAUAACCUACCUAUAAGACUGGGAUAACUUCGGGAGACCGGAGCUAAUACCGGAUAAUAUUUUGAACCGCAUGGUUCAAAAGUGAAAGACGGUCUUGCUGUCACUUAUAGAUGGAUCCGCGCUGCAUUAGCUAGUUGGUAAGGUAACGGCUUACCAAGGCAACGAUGCAUAGCCGACCUGAGAGGGUGAUCGGCCACACUGGAACUGAGACACGGUCCAGACUCCUACGGGAGGCAGCAGUAGGGAAUCUUCCGCAAUGGGCGAAAGCCUGACGGAGCAACGCCGCGUGAGUGAUGAAGGUCUUCGGAUCGUAAAACUCUGUUAUUAGGGAAGAACAUAUGUGUAAGUAACUGUGCACAUCUUGACGGUACCUAAUCAGAAAGCCACGGCUAACUACGUGC